UAUCUAUUACUAUAUAUAAAAGUAGAACCCUUAAUGAACCCUAUGUGAGAAGCUGACACGUGGCUUUUUAUAUGCUUGCCACGUGUCAAACUUAAAUAUGAAUAUUUGGUUACGAAUUAUUUAAAAUUAUUGGUUUAAUUAAUUAUUUAAAAUUAUUGAUUGCGUAAACUCAAAUUUCGUAUUGGCAGAUAAUUAAUUAUUUAAAAUUAUUGGUUGCGAAAUAAACAAUAAUCUGUUGCGAAUUAUUUGAAAUGGUUAGUUGCGAAAAAAAUGGUCAAACUUAAAUUUCGUAUUGGCAGAUAAUUAAUUAUUUAACCCUAUGUGAGAAGCUAACACGUGGCUUUCUAUAUACUUGCCACGUGUCAAACUCAAAUAUGGAUAUUUGGUUACGAAUUAUUUGAAAUUAUUGGUUUAAUUAAUUAUUUAAAAUUAUUGGUUGCGAAAUACGUAAUAAUCUGUUGCGAAUUAUUUUUUCACCGUGGAAAUAAUCUGUUGCAAACUCAAAUUUUGUAUUGGCAGAUAAUUAAUUAUUUAAAAUUAUUGGUUGCGAAAUAAGCAAUAAUCUGUUGCGAAUUAUUUGAAAUGGUUAGUUGCGAAAAAAAUGGUCAAACUUAAAUUUCGUAUUGGCAGAUAAUUAAUUAUUUAACCCUAUGUGAGAAGCUAACACGUGGCUUUCUAUAUACUUGCCACGUGUCAAACUCAAAUAUGGAUAUUUGGUUACGAAUUAUUUGAAAUUAUUGGUUUAAUUAAUUAUUUAAAAUUAUUGGUUGCGAAAUACGUAAUAAUCUGUUGCGAAUUAUUUUUUCACCGUGGAAAUAAUCUGUUGCAAACUCAAAUUUUGUAUUGGCAGAUAAUUAAUUAUUUAAAAUUAUUGGUUGCGAAAUAAGCAAUAAUCUGUUGCGAAUUAUUUGAAAUGGUUAGUUGCGAAAAAAAGGUCAAAGUCAAAUUUCGUAUUGGCAGAUAAUUAAUUAUUUAAAAUUAUUGGUUCCAAAAUCAAUAAUCUAACGGUCAAACUCAAAUUUCGUAUUGGCAGAUAACAGUCAAACUCAAAUUUCGUAUUGGCAGAUAAUUAAUUACUUAAAAUUAUUAGUUGCGAAAUAAGCAAUAAUCUGGUUAGUUGCGAAAAAAAGGGUCAAACUUAAAUUUCGUAUUGGCAGAUAAUUAAUUAUUUAACACUAUGUGAGAAGCUGACACGUGGCUUUUUAUAUGUUUGCCACGUGUCAAACUCAAAUAUGGAUAUUUGGUUACAAAUUAUUUGAAAUUAUUGGUUUAAUUAAUUAUUUAAAAUUAUUGGUUGCGAAAUACGUAAUAAUCUGUUGCGAAUUAUUUUUUCGCGGUGAAAAUAAUCUGUUGCAAACUCAAAUUUCGUAUUGGCAGAUAAUUAAUUAUUUAAAAUUAUUGGUUGCGAAAUAAGCAAUAAUCUGUUGCGAAUUAUUUGAAAUGGUUAGUUGCGAAAAAAAGGUCAAAGUCAAAUUUCGUAUUGGCAGAUAAUUAAUUAUUUAAAAUUAUUGGUUCCAAAAUCAAUAAUCUAACGGUCAAACUCAAAUUUCGUAUUGGCAGAUAACAGUCAAACUCAAAUUUCGUAUUGGCAGAUAAUUAAUUACUUAAAAUUAUUAGUUGCGAAAUAAGCAAUAAUCUGGUUAGUUGCGAAAAAAAGGGUCAAACUUAAAUUUCGUAUUGGCAGAUAAUUAAUUAUUUAACACUAUGUGAGAAGCUGACACGUGGCUUUUUAUAUGUUUGCCACGUGUCAAACUCAAAUAUGGAUAUUUGGUUACAAAUUAUUUGAAAUUAUUGGUUUAAUUAAUUAUUUAAAAUUAUUGGUUGCGAAAUACGUAAUAAUCUGUUGCGAAUUAUUUUUU
rnacentral:lncRNA from 1 species